UUCGGGGGACAGGGUGACAGGUGGUGCAUGGUUGUCGUCAGCUCGUGUCGUGAGAUGUUGGGUUAAGUCCCCGCAACGAGCGCAACCCUCGACCUUAGUUGCCAGCAUUCAGUUGGGCACUCUAAGGUGACUGCCGGCUAAAAGUCGGAGGAAGGUGGGGAUGACGUCAAAUCAUCAUGCCCCUUAUGACCUGGGCUACACACGUGCUACAAUGGGCGGUACAAAGGGUCGCGAACCCGCGAGGGGAGCCAAUCCCAAAAAGCCGCUCUCAGUUCGGAUUGCAGGCUGCAACUCGCCUGCAUGAAGCCGGAAUCGCUAGUAAUCGCGGAUCAGCAUGCCGCGGUGAAUACGUUCCCGGGCCUU
rnacentral:rRNA from 1 species